CCAGCCUGGCCCUGUUCAACACGCAGUUCCUGCGCCUCUGCGCCGACGCCGACCCGCGGGUGCGGCCCCUGGGCUACGCCGUGCGCCUCUGGGCGGGGGGGCAGCGCCUGGCAGGGAACCGGGCCGGGGGCGGCCCCCUCCUCACCAACUACGCGCUGACGCUGCUGCUGGUGCUGUUCCUGCAGAGCCGCAGCCCCCCGGUGCUGCCCUCGGUGCGGCGCCUCCGCCUCCUGGCAGGGCCCCAGGACCGUGCCCAGGUUGGGGGGUGGGAUUGCAGCUUCCCCCGGGACGCGGCGGCGCUGGAGCCCAGCGGGAACG